UGCAGUCGACGGAUCCUUCGGGAUUAGUGGCAGACGGGUGAGUAACGCGUGGGAAGCUACCUUGUGGUAGGGGACAACAGUUGGAAACGACUGCUAAUACCCUAUGAGCCCUAUGGGGGAAAGAUUUAUCGCCAUGAGAUGUGCCCGCGUUAGAUUAGCUAGUUGGUAAGGUAAUGGCUUACCAAGGCGACGAUCUAUAGCUGGUCUGAGAGGAUGAUCAGCCACACUGGGACUGAGACACGGCCCAGACUCCUACGGGAGGCAGCAGUGGGGAAUAUUGGACAAUGGGGGCAACCCUGAUCCAGCCAUGCCGCGUGUGUGAUGACGGCCUUAGGGUUGUAAAGCACUUUCAGCAGUGAAGAUAAUGACAUUAACUGCAGAAGAAGCCCCGGCUAACUUCGUGCCAGCAGCCGCGGUAAUACGAAGGGGGCUAGCGUUGUUCGGAAUCACUGGGCGUAAAGAGUACGUAGGCGGACUGAUAAGUUAGGGGUGAAAUCCCAAGGCUCAACCUUGGAACUGCCUUUGAUACUGUCAGUCUUGAGAUCGAGAGAGGUGAGUGGAACUCCGAGUGUAGAGGUGAAAUUCGUAGAUAUUCGGAAGAACACCAGUGGCGAAGGCGGCUCACUGGCUCGAUACUGACGCUGAGGUACGAAAGCGUGGGGAGCAAACAGGAUUAGAUACCCUG
rnacentral:rRNA from 1 species